GACGAACGCUGGCGGCGUGCCUAACACAUGCAAGUCGAGCGAAGUGAGUACUACGGUACGAACUUAGCGGCGGACGGGUGAGUAACGCGUGGACAAUCUACCCUGUAGACUGGGAUAACACCUCGAAAGGGGUGCUAAUACCGGAUAAUGUCGAGAAACGGCAUCGCUUUUCGAAGAAAGGAGAGAAUCCGCUAUAGGAGGAGUCCGCGUCCCAUUAGCUAGUGGGUGAGGGUAACGGCCCACCAAGGCGACGAUGGGUAGCCGGCCUGAGAGGGUGAACGGCCACACUGGAACUGAGACACGGUCCAGACACGUACGGGAGGCAGCAGUGGGGAAUAUUGUGCAAUGGGGGAAACCCUGACACAGCAACGCCGCGUGAGCGAAGAAGGCCUUCGGGUUGUAAAGCUCAAUAGUAUGGGAAGAUAAUGACGGUACCAUACGAAAGCCCCGGCUAACUACGUGCCAGCCGCCGCCGUAACAC
rnacentral:rRNA from 1 species